rnacentral:rRNA from 1 species
GACGAACGCUGGCGGCGUGCCUAAUACAUGCCAGUAGAACGCUGAAGAGAGGAGCUUACUCUUCUUGGAUGAGUUGCGAACGGGUGAGUAACGCGUAGGUAACCUGCCUUGUAGCGGGGGAUAACUAUUGGAAACGAUAGCUAAUACCGCAUAACAAUGGAUGACACAUGUCAUUUAUUUGAAAGGGGCAAUUGCUCCACUACAAGAUGGACCUGCGUUGUAUUAGCUAGUAGGUGAGGUAAUGGCUCACCUAGGCGACGAUACAUAGCCGACCUGAGAGGGUGAUCGGCCACACUGGGACUGAGACACGGCCCAGACUCCUACGGGAGGCAGCAGUAGGGAAUCUUCGGCAAUGGGGGCAACCCUGACCGAGCAACGCCGCGUGAGUGAAGAAGGGUUUCGGAUCGUAAAGCUCUGUUGUAAGUCAAGAACGGGUGUGAGAGUGGAAAGUUCACACUGUGACGGUAGCUUACCAGAAAGGGACGGCUAACUACGUG